AGAUUACUACAGAUUUUAACUAUUCGGAGUCGGGGGAGUCUAUAACAAGGGACACAAUGUGCAAGUCAGGAAUAAAAGUUUUAUGUUUAAAGCUCCCAAUACUGUUUUCCGCACAGGCUUCACCUUUUGGGGUCUGUCAUGUUGUUUCAAGCUACUGGUAUUUGGAUUCCUAUUCUUCAUUAUUAAAUAUCCCCUAAUAGUGAAAUUUGACAGUCAUUCUUUAGGGCCAAUCUGUGUUCUCUGAACUUUAAUUUGUUUAACAUUAACAGGAGGCAUUGAUCCUCAUACCCACCUAGACUUUGAGUUCAUGGGUUCAGAAACCAUUGAUGAUUUCUUCAGUGGUCAGGCUGCAGCGUUAGCUGGUGGAACAACAAUGCACAUUGACUUUGUUAUACCAGUUAAUGGAAGUUUAUUGUCAGGAUUAGAAGCUUAUGAAAAAAAGUCUAAGAAGUCCUGCAUGGAUUAUGGUUUCCAUAUGGCAAUUACAAAAUGGGAUGAAGUUGUUUCAAAAGAAAUGGAAAUAAUGGUCAAUGAGAAAGGUUAGUCAUAUGUAUUUCCAGGUUUUAUUGAGUGAGCUUAAUUGUUGGCCGUGCUAAUUUUUAUGAAAUUUAUUUGUAUUUACAAUUUGUAAACUUAAUUCAGGUAUAAAUUCUUUCAAGUUUUUCAUGGCAUACAAGGGGGCUCUUAUGAUCAAUGAUGAGCUUCUGCUACAAGGAUUCAAAAAGUGCAAGUCUCUUGGUGCGUUAGCUAUGGUUCAUGCAGAAAAUGGAGAUGCUGCAUAUGAAGGACAGAGAAGAAUGAUAGAACUUGGUAUUACUGGUCCAGAGGGACAUGCUCUUUCAAGGCCCCCAGUGGUAAUUAUAGAAAUAGAUUCAUGGUGCAAACAUAACUUGGAUAACAUGAAAGUGUGGUUUUUUUUUUUUUUUUUUUUUUUUCCUAUUGUGCAAACAUAACUUUGAUAUUAAUUAGUAAUUAUUAAAUGUGCAUCAUCUCCCUUCACAUAGAGCAUUUGUUAUGCAGUAAUAUUUAAUGCUGUUAUUAAUCUUACAAUUCAAUAGUACUUUAUAUUCCAUAUCUACCUGGUAUGAAUAUUUUAUUUUUAUUUAUCAGUCCCUAUUUUUAACGGCAAACUUUCUUCUGCAAUCAUGACAUAGAUAUGGUAGCAAUCCUAAUUCUGGGUGAGGCUCUUGUUUCUUUCUUUGAAACUAAGAAGAUGUUCUCGUUCUAACUAUAUUGGAAAAACUAGUUAAAAACUUUCUUAGAGAUUGAGGAAAGAUGCCCAUCCAGUUAUGCUGUUUUCAUGUUAUCAGGUUGAACUUUUGUAAAAGAAUUUGGUUUUGUGGCCUUUACUGUUUUAGAAAGACUACAAGAAGUAGGAUACAUGCUUCUAAUCUGAUCCCCUUUCCAGCUGAAUGCAAAGUAAUGAUUGUCUAAAAAUUGGUCCUUUCGUAAUGAAUAUGCAAUUAUUUAAGCACAUAUCUUUUUAUGCUGAAGUCAUAUUAAUGGAAAUUCAUUUGUUAUAUUUGUUCUGUUGUUCUUUAAAUUAUCUAAUAGUUAUUUGCAAGUAUGUUAAUGAGCAUAUGAUCAAUGUCUGAUCCAACUUAAAUAACAAUGCAGCUGGAAGGAGAAGCAACUGCUCGAGCAAUUAAACUUGCAGGUUUCAUGAACACUCCCCUCUAUGUAGUUCACGUGAUGAGCAUUGAUGCUAUGGAAGAAAUUUCUAAAGCUCGCAAAUCAGGUUCUUUGUGUUUUACAUUUCUUUCUCUGCUGGUAAAUUUAUUGGUCAGCAGGACUAUAUUUUUUCUUUUUUCGAUUGGGGACUAUCUUGUUUUUGAUAACUAGAAUUUCUACUAUUUCAUUGGUUUGUUUGUUUAGUUACAAUUUGUGUAAGUAAGCACUAAACUCUCCUUUAUUCUCAAAACUUUACAUUAAUUGCCUAAGUAAAUAGCUUCGGCAGUUGGUCUUCAUAUACAACGACUUCAUUCUCUAACAUUACCGUGUCAUGUCGAAAUCAUGUUCAACCACCCUUUCCCAAAGUUCCAUAAUGUGAUGUGGACUGACUCUGUAUCACCUGUAUUUUGUAUCCUAAAUCAAUGACAAACAGGUACCAAGUUCCAAAAUAAUUGAUUUGUUGAAGUGGUGUCAUAAAGAAUAUGCUGCAAGAGUUUAUUAUACCCAGCCAGAGUGCAUUUUAGCAACUGCAAAGAAUUUCUUAUCCAAUUGUCAAUUCUGAUAUGUGCCGUUUCAUGGUAGCCUAGAGACCAAAAAGCUCAAAUGAAGGCUAAUAGAAAGAACACAAUGAACAAGCUGGAAAAGAAAAAGAAAAAAAAAACUUAUAGACAGACUUCCACAAAUACAUGUAUUAAUAAAGAUAGAUGAAGCUGAUUAAGAUGGCAUAUAAACUGUAGACAUAUUUCCAGACACAGUAUCCUGUUUCUUUUUUAUCAUUUUGAAAAGGGGAAAAAAAAAAAAACUCUCUGAAACUGCAGGGCAGAAGGUUAUUGGAGAACCAGUAGUUUCUGGGUUAGUGCUGAAUGAUUCUUGGGUUUGGGAUCCUGACUUUAUCACUGCCGCCAAGUAGGAGUCUGCACUCUUUAUUAUAUUCUUCUUUAUUGAAUUUUUUGAUGUUCGAUCAAAUAGAGCUAUGUUAAGCAAAGCCGUCUUCUGAAAAUUCAGGUAUGUCAUGAGUCCCCCUAUAAGGGCCGCAAGACAUGGCAAAGCCCUUCAAGCUGCUCUUUCAAUGGGAAUUCUGCAGGUGUCUCUCUUAUUCAACCUUAUAUAAGAAUUAUCUGAUUUGGUCCACAUUGCUUCUUGGUACUGCAAUGAUUUACUUCAAAGUUUUGAAAGGAUGGGGGGAACUAGUAAGGAGUUAUUGUAAAUGAAGAGACAAGUUUAUGGGUUUCCCUUGACAUUGUAUUCAGAACCAGAUUUUGAUCAAACAUGAUGGGAUAUAUUAUUCAGCUGCCUAAACUUUUGUUUUUUUUUUUUUUGUGCCUAUAAUUUAGCUACCUGAACUUAAUAGUGAACAAAUUUGUUUUAAGAAAGUAGAAAUUGACUUAGAUUUUGCAAUGUGCAGCUUGUAGGAACCGAUCAUUGUCCUUUCAACUCAACGCAGAAAGCUCUUGGAAUUGAUGAUUUCCGGAAAAUUCCAAAUGGUGUCAAUGGUAGUCACAGAAAUGGUCUUUGAUAUUGUUCAACUAAGAUAUAUUAUCUGUUUUCUAUGCCAAUUUCAGUUUCUAAUACUUAACACGGCAACUGGAAAUUAGGUAUUGAGGAGAGGAUGCAUCUUGUAUGGGAUACAAUGGUGGUAAGCUGCCAUAAAAUUCCUGCUCAUCCCUUAAAUAAGCAGCUUAAAUUAGAAUCAGUGUUUUGGAUAAUCUUUUAUGACUUUUAAUUUCUGUGCAUACUUUCAGGAAUCCGGUCAAAUUUCUGUUACUGACUAUGUCCGGGUGACAAGCACUGAAUGGUAUUCUUGCAGCGAAUUGUGUUUACUAUAAAUUCCCAUUAUGCUGCCUAAAGUACGUUAAAAUGAUUUCAACGUCCACAAAAUUUUCAGUGCUAGGAUUUUCAAUAUAUAUCCGAGGAAGGGAGCAAUUCGUGCCGGUUCUGAUGCAGAUAUAAUUAUACUCAAUCCGAACUCAAGCUUUGAAAUAAGUGCAAAGUCCCACCACUCUAGAUCUGAUACCAAUGUCUUCGAGGGAUGGAGAGGGAAGGUAAUAUUUGUCACAUAAAGGAUUUUUUUUUUCCAUAAGAUAGUAUGAUAUUACUUUACAAUUAGGAAGCUACUGCUCCCUCUUUGGGGACACCUUGGUGGCUGUGAUCUACAGACAUGGCUGAGAAAAAACAAAAAUGAGAUGAGGUGUCUGAAAUGACAUAUAUUAUAUGUGUGUGUAUUCCUAAGGAUUUUUCGCCAGUUUUUCUCAAAAAAGGAUGUUUAGCGUAUUUAAAUGGUGUUUUGAAGAUAGAUUUGGUUGCUCCAUAGAAUUUUGUUCUUUUCUGCUACCAUUAUUCUUGGUAUUUUAUUGGUGAAUCAACAAGGUUGGUACCAUAGUUUUGGCCUCACUUUAUUCCUUGAGGAAGACCAAAAGAGGAGAACCAUUAUAUUCCAUAUAUAAUGGCCCUCCUCACCCUCUCAUCGCAACUCUCUUCGAUUCACUCUCUCAAAAGUCUCUCAUGCCUCAAUGUAAAUAUAACACUCAUUACAUGCUGAAAACAGACGUGGAUGUAGCACGAAUUCAGUGAACCAUGAUAAAUCUCGUGUGUUCUUGGUGUGAUUAUGUGAUUCACGGUUUUUGAGUUCUAUUCACAGUAUUUUCAUGGGAAAAUCAACAGGUUCUAAGGAAGAUUGUGGAUUGUUAUAUCUUUUUAAUUGUAGUUAUAUGCUUCCCUGUAUCAUCUUUCUAAUUCUUUGCCCCCGUGUGUGGUAUUUUUCCCUCAAACUUCUCUCCAGUUUGUACAUACACAACAAAAUAUACUUGCAUUCAUAAAGUUUCAUUCUUAUACGUGUGUGUGUGGAUUGAGCUUGUACAAAGCCUGUGCAAUACUGUGCAUGCAUUGAUGUGGCAUUUUUAUGGCAUGCCAGACAUUAAAAGUUCAUAUUACAUUUUUUCUGGGAAAGGUUGAAGUGACAAUGUUCUAUUUUCGCAGGGAAAGGUUGAAGUGACCAUUUCUGGUGGAAGGGUUGUUUGGUUAAAUGAUGAGUUGAAGGUUUUUCCUGGUUCUGGCAAGUACGUAGAAAUGCGACCCUUCAGUUAUCUUUUCAAUGGAAUUGGCAAGGCAGAUGCAAAGUAUCUAUCUUCUCUUAAAGCCCCUAUAAAGCGUUUUAGAGCCACCACUUAAAAAGCUCAGGUACUUCUUUCCUUUUCGACUAUUAUUAUUUAAACUUGAGGUGUAAAAAUGGACAUGAUGCUCCUGUAUAUAUGGCAAAUGGUUUGAAUAAUAAGAUCAAAGUUUCUAUUUUUUGUUUUACCAUGUAUGUGAAUUCACUUUAAAGUCAAUAAAUAAUAUUCUUGUUGCAGUUUGCAGUUGGCAAUUUAUUUGAAUGGAUAAAUAUAUAUUAACCAACUUCACUUGUGUCAUAACUUACUUUGUUAAUGAUAUAGGCUGUUGACGAUGUGUUACAUUUGUUUAAUGUAAGUGUUGGAUUGCCUUAAUUGAAGGCUCAUUGUGUUGGCUUCAUUUGAGGCUGGUUCUUUGUAGAGCAUAAUGCUAUUGACCAGGAACACAAUACCAUGAUCUUCUUAUUCUUCUGACUUUUAUUUCCAACUUGAUUUCAUGGCAUUGUGCUACUAAGAACCAAUGCAGCUGCCCUCACGCCACCUUUCUCAGUCUCUCUUUACAGCCAUCACUUGCCACCACCGUUCUCUCUCCCUCUGUUUCGACACUGGUUUCCAUUUUCUUUAAAGUGCUUUCUUCCUAAAAUCACUGGUUCAGAGAGAAGCACGAAAUGUAAGCUCGCAUUUCGUAGCAUUGUUUCAUAAUAUGGAGUUUAACCAACAGCCCCAUCAUUAGCCUACUGCAUCUUUCCCAUUUUUUUGAUCCAUCAAGCUUUUGCAUCUUUAGCUAUCAUCGGUAUUCUUUCAUGUCCAAAAGGAAAGGGGAUGUCUGGGAGCUGUUUCCUGGAUUUGAAAGAGAGUACUUGGGUUCUUCCAAUAACUAAACAGUAUGUCAUGACUGAAUCUAACUGGGGUUUGCGGUGGUGGAGGAAUUGGAUUGGAAGAGUUCGAAUAUUUGAUCCCAAAUUUGAAAUACAGUAGAUGAUGAUGAGCGUACUUUGGACUACUGGAGUCUUUAACGUUAUUUAAGUUAGGGGUAUUUCUUGGGAAAAAAAGAAGAUGAAGUUUUCUUGGUAAACUUUGUCUGCCUGCAAAGAAACUGAAGUAUAUAUCUGUUCUUGUUAUUGUUUAUUCUUUGUAUCCGUAACGCAUGAUUGGGAAAGACUUAUUUUCCAUGACUGCUUGAACCAUGUUACACUGCUGCCACCACAUUCGUGUUUACUGCUGUUAUUUGGCCUUUGAUAUCAAUUUGUUAUUUAUUUUUUAUGGGGCCUUGAAUAAAAUCAUGUCUAACGGUGGUGAGAGGUCUUGAAGGAGAUGGGAGGAAGAGAGUUAGACAGGAGUGUAAGAGUCAGUUACAAACACUUGAGUAGAGAUUUUAGAAUUGAACAAAAGGUUUUUAAUACUUGAGAUAGAUGACAUCGUACGCGGCAGCAAUGAAGAUUACAGAGAGUUCGCUUUGGGCAUCCUUGUGGGCUUCAGUUUCUUUAGAUUUUGAGGACUGGUCCUUUUGGGAGGCUGUUGCUAAUUAGUUUUGUUUCCGUUGACUUUGGUCCUACGUGACUGUUUCAGACUCUCUUGUUAGUCCAUGACAUGUGUGGUAUUCUUUCAUACCCUGGAGCUUGUCCUUCAGGAAGGUUUUAAUAAAGCCACUGUUUCGUGUCGUUCUAUGAAUGAAUUCUAUUUCUAAAAAAAAUUAAAAAAAUAUAAGAAUGUGACGUUAAACACGAAUAAAAUCACAAUGAAACAUUUGGCAAUUAUAUAGUUUUUAAAUUGAAGGAAUCAACAAUUUUUUGCAAUAUAAGUAUUUUUCCACUAGCCGAAAGUCUCCAUUACCUCAUUUUCCACUGCUCGAUCUGGACCAAACUUGCAGGACAUGUUUAGUAAAUUUUGCCAAACCUAUAGGAACUUUCGGAUUAUUAAUCAGAGGUCAUAGACCCCACGGGAAAUCAGGUUGACCAAUAUGAGAAUUUAAUCGUAUAUUUAAUCUCGGGUCUUUUUAGACCGUUCCACCUGUCAGAACUGUUGAAAAUGGGCAUAGGAACUUUCUUAAGUUACGUACACGCACUUUUAAGGCUGGGGGUCAGGGUUUUGAUUAAAUAUUUGUGGUUGAGCUAUUUUAUUAAUUAAAUAUUUUAAUCGCUUAAAUAGGUAUUCGGGCUUCAUUGAACCCGCAGGAAGAACCCUCGAAGGGUCAGGCUAUAUCGAACGCACAGUGAAUAGAAUUUUGUUUUGUAAAUGAAUUUUAUGCAGUAAAAGUUUUAUUAAUUGAUCAUAAAUGAAUUAUAUAUGGUUUUUGCUUUCCAAGCAUUUAGUUUGAAUUCAAAUACUUUUAUAAAAUUUUGUUUGUGUUUAAAUGUGAAUGGCUAGGAAAGUAGAAAAGGAAAUGAUAACAUGAUUUAAAGAUUUAAUGAGAAAUAGUAUUAUAACUUUACAGGAAAGGUUUUUAAACCACCAUAGGUACCCAAAAUGUUGCCUUCGAAUAAACUAUUGCCUUCGGAUAUAAUGAUGUCCACGGACAUCCUAGUUGCCUUCGGUUGAGUCAGCGCGCGUUUGACAGUUGCCCCACGAGUCAUAGAGAUACGAGACCGUGAGGAGUGAGGAAUGCGGCUCAGGUUGACCAAGUGUCUCCUGAGUUUUGAAGAGGAAUGCGGCUCACUUUGUGUUUUCCGAGUUCUGCGAGGAUGUGUCACUUAUCUGACACUUGGAAUUGACGGUAUGAUGUGGGAAAUAAAUAGAAAAUAAUCAUGGAAUUGACGGAUUUAUGAUGGGUACACCUAGGUGGAAAUGAAUUAUUACUUUGCAAUGCUUUUCAAAUGGUUGUGAUGAAUUGAUUGAAUGUAUGAUAUGUUAUAUGUAUAUAAAUAUGCAUGCUUGAUUUUUGUACAAAUAUAGAAUAUGGAUUAAAUGAAUUUUCAAAUGUUUUAACAGUGGGGUUAGUAUGUUGAUAUUCUAUUUUGCAAAAAUUUCUUUUGUUCACUCACACUUUUAAUGUUUUGGGCCCCCAGUCAGUAACCGUGUACCAGAGCACCACCACCGGGCGAUCAUCACCCACCACUCAUCCUUUUCAAUUAUGUAGGAUAUUCUACUGUAACCAUACUACUUGUAAAUUAAAUUAAUUAGCAUGCUCUAAUAUUGCCCUAGGAUUUCUUUAAGGCCUAAGGCCACACAGAAUUACUGUUGGAUUGUGUGUAUUCUAACAUUGUGCAUGCUGAACGAUUGUGGAUAUAUGAGUUGCAUUUUGUACAGGUGAAAAUUUUGGGAAACGAGCAAUUUACAGGGGAGACUCUACUGAAUUUUCGGCAGAAGUCAAACCUUAAAAGAAUUUGUGAGUUUUAGUUAGAAAGGCAAUUUGGUCAAGUGUGCCCGGCACUUGCCAGGUGUUGGACAUGCACAGGGUUCUGUGCAAAUUCCAAAAUGGAAUUUGGGUUGGGUCCUGUCAACAGUUUUUUAUAUAAACCAUCGUGUUUUUACUACAUACUUGUUAUUUUGUUGAUCUACCGUCGUAUGAUACCAAAACCCAGAAAAUAAAUCUUAAAAAGUAAUACAAAUUUCAGACGAUGGUAGUCAUAGAACGACAGUCGUAUAAAGGAAAUAGAGACGACGAUAUUUAGAAAUUAACGACGUGGAUUCCUAUAAUGCUCAUUGUGAAAAAACAGACGUGGGGUUUUUUUUUUUUUGGGGGUCAAUUAAACUGAUUUGGUUAGGUACAAACAACCCGACGCUAUAUUCUACAAUAACAGUCGUGGUAAAUGUAACGAACUGGUAAAUUACAUUUACCACGACCGUUUAUUUAUACAGAACGUUGUCAUGUACUAACUUAAUACGUCUUGAAAUAGUAAAAGAGCGACGUGGAUAUUUUUACAUUUAGACGUCGUUAUCUACACUACUAGUGUCGUAGUUCGCUAUAACUCUAUACGACAGUAAUGUUAUAAAUACCGUCGUAGUACAUGAGGACGUCAUACGUCGAGAAAUUUAUUUUUACUGUCAUGGUAUAUGAAAUUAAUACGGCGCGGAUUAUGAGAUUACCGACGUGAAUUCCUGUAAAAUUAUACAACGUUGAUUAAGAAGAGUUUGUCGUGGUUAACUACCAGUUAACAAGGCGACAGUUUAGGUAAAACGUCGUCUUUAAUUUCUACGUUGGUAGCUUCAUACCUACCGUCGUUGUUUUUUGGGGUUAAGAGUUUAUGUCUGGAGAAAACAUGUUUAACAAGACGGCACUUUGUAAGUUUCAAGCGUCGUGUUCUAAAAAUACCCCAACGGAUCUCGAUUUUUGAGGUGUUUAAGUUACUUAUCCACGACAGUUUUUUAUUACCGUCGUCUUUCUAAACACAACGACGGUAUUUAUGUAUUUCGUCGUUUUACGGUCGUCUUUUUCCAUUUUUGUAGUAGCGAUUGCAUUCAUAAUUCAUGCAUAAAGACAGUCAGCCACAAAGGCCAAUACAAAAUACAAAGAACCAAAUAGGGAAGAGUCCACCUACAACACAAUAAUCACAAGGGGUUUAUAAAAAAACGGAAGAGCCCACCUACAACACGAAGCACACAAGGUGUAGGCCCACUUAUACACAGAGCCACAUAAAUUGGAGCACAAAAUCCACAAGCCUAGACAAAUCAGGCAAAGGCCACAAGGCACAAAACUACAAACUAGAACUAUAACCCUUUAACUCUCACAAGUAAAACCUACAAGUAGAGACUCCAAACAUGCAAAAAAUUCAAAAAGAGUUGAUAUACUUAUUACAACUCAAAAAACUGCAACACACAACAAGAAAAUAAAAGCUGAUAUGACAUCACGUCGUCCCCAAGACAACCAAACAACCAAAAAACUCAAUCAAGGCGGCCAAGCACCAAAGUCGAACCAAGAAAAAGGGUAAAAGGCUCAAUGAGGGGAAGGGUGGGGAGGAGGGCCAGGGAAAAGCUUGAGGGGAUGGGCGAGGGGUGGAAGAGAGUGGGGAGAGAAAGGGAGGGAAAGGGGCGGAGAGGAAAUGAUAUUGGAGAGGAGGAGGGGAGGAGAAGAAAGGAGAAGAGUGGAGAAAUGGAGGCCACCGACCCCUAAUGGGGACAACGAUUGAAACUUUUCUCAGCUUAGGUUUUCUCUCUUAGUUCUUGCUAGUGGAUUACUUCCUAACUUGCUAUAGGAUGUGAUAGCUGAUAACUCGGUCAACUAUUCCUAAUCAUUGGAUGAUUUAAAAACAAAUCGAGUGGUGAAACUACCAUACACACUAUGAUACAUUUACCUACAAGUAAUGGGAAUAAGAAGAAAAAGGAUGAUUUUCCUUCUCAACUUUUCCUAUGUUUAGUUACACAUAAGGAAUCAUUUAAUACGAAUGUCCAAAAAUCAUGAAUCGGAUAAACUAGGUUGUUCUUGUUGAUAUGAUUCUCAUCCUUUAUUUAUCACAUUCAUUUUCAUUUUAUUACCAUCACUUAUAAGUAAACAUGCCAUGAGGAUGAAUGAAUUGAAAAUUACAUAGAAUUCUAAAAUGACAGAAGUUAGAUUUCCAUCAUUUCAAUUUCUAGCAAUUGAAGAUUUCAGUGUUUGGAUUUAUGUAUGUCGAAUUUUGUAAAUGGCACUAUGGAAAUUAUGAAAUAACGCUCAUUUUGGAGGAAAUUAAACUCAGGAAUUUAAUGUCCAAAUUUCCACGAUUACGCCGGUCAUUUAAUAAAUUCCACAUUUAAGUAGCCAAAUAAGGGAAUUGUCAAUUUCUCACGUUAAAUUCCCGAUUUUUUAGCUAAAUUUUGAGUUAUUUUCCAUCAUCCAAAAAGAGGGUAAAAGAGAAAAUGUUGGGGAAGGGGAGGAAAGCUAAAGCCUUGUGGAGUUGUUUGGAGAAAAGCAAAACAACAGUUGAGAUGGGCAGCACCCACAAAUUAUAAAGCCUUAGAGAAUCUCCAAAGGUUGACCAAAAAAAGAGAAGAAAAGUCCAAAGAUUUGAAAAGUAUAAAGCCCCAAAGGGCGCUCAAAGCCAAGAAGAGACUUUCAAGAGAGAGAGAGAGAGAUCCACUCCCGCAUUUCCAGACUUCCAGGAUUGAAGUGAAGGAGUAAAGUUUUUCAAGCAUCCAAUCCAUGGCGUACAGCUCCAGUCCUCAACGCCUCCUCCAUCUGUUAUCUCUCAUCCUUCUUCUCUUCGCCUUUUGUUCCAUCUCAGAAUCAAGCCAGGUACUCCUCGAUUCACUCUCCACUUUCUGUUUGGUUCCCGAGAAAAACAAAAUAAAAAACAAAAAGUCUUAGUCUUUUGAUUAUUUUGUUAUUUCAACGUGUGUCAGUUUUGCGAUGCUGGAUUUGGAUAUGGCGAGUCGUGUGGCGUUUCUUCGUCUUCGUCGACCAAGUUGUUGAUCAAAGGCGGAACUGUAGUGAAUGCUCAUGAGAUGGAGGUCGCUGAUGUUUAUGUGGAGGAUGGAAUCAUUGUUGCUGUUAGGCCUAAUAUUAAGGUGCAAUAUUUCAGUCUCUGUUUUCUUUAUUCGGUAUUUUUGUAAAAAUUGGAUGAAUUUCAUUGGUAUGUUGUAGUUGAGCUUGCUGGUCAUUGAUUUUCUAAAUCUUUAACCACUAUUUUCUUUUUCCAAAUAUUUUUGUCUCUGCAAAUGGGGUGGAGGUUCUAGUUUUUAGUUACUAGAAGUGGCUCAUAACUUCUUAAGUAACAAGCUGAUAUUGGAGGUCUAGUUAUAACUUGUAGAUAGGAUAUUGAGAUUGGUAGGUUUGAUGUAUAUGCUUGAUACUUUGGGGGCCUUAGGGGCAGUGAAGGAUGUGGGUUUUGCAUUUUCUGUAGUUUUCCAAUCCGUGCGGACCUGUUUCCUACUAGUUUCUUUAUUAGUUCUGGACUACUGGAGCAAUGCAAUCCUCUGUCCCCAUUUCUUUUCCAACUAAUAAUACAAUUCGUAAACGUGAUUAUAGGAUGAGUUUUUAAAUUCAUCUCAAUCAGUUUUAUGGUGUGGUAUUUAGGCACAGUGGAUAUGGUUAUCUCUUUUCUUCCUUUCAGUCUCUUGUUAUUUUUGGAGAAAUUUGAGAGAGGUUUUGUCAUGGAAGGUAGUUGAAAAGAUUAUUUAAAUUUUGGUGCAAGGUUGGUUCCUCCCUAUGUUCUAAGUUCUUUGUCGAUGUGCUUUAAUAUUGGAUUGCCAAUUGAUGUUGUGUUAAAGAGAAUAUAGAAGUGUAUAUAAGGGGCAAGGCAGCUCUUAUUAAGAGUUUCAUCCUGAGGUUUUCCAAUCAAAUCCAUGCAAAAGGAGUGCCUAAGAUGUGAUUGAGAUUUUCUUGUGGAUGAAAUGUAUGCGGUGUUGAUUUUGGCAUUAGUGAGGAUGCUUUGGCAAAAGGAUAUUUUCAAAAAAAUCAUUUCAUGAUGAGGAUGAGGCCUGCAGACGUGGUUAGUUAUAUGGUCUGGUCUUUUGUAAAACCUCACUGGUUCCAAAGCUUGCAGAUUAGUCCUGAUUCUUGUGGCAGAGUAUCCUGUCUACUAAAGAUUUUGAAAAAGUUGUUUUCUUAGAAGAAAUUGCCUUUUCUUUUAUGUAAAAUAAUCAUGGAUAUUUUUGAUCUCUUGCAUAAACUUAAGAUGGUGGUCUAGGAAGCAUGGAUGUCUAUGACCAGGAGAUACCUAUAGAUAAAUUCAUUUUUAUGUAGAAUUGACAAGGACAAACUAUAACUCUAGUCACACUAUAUAUUAAUUAAGUUUAAGUUGACUUUUAACUUUUGUAUAUAUAAUGAGAUUUUUCUUAUAUAAAGCCAAUGUCAAAAUAUAUGUAUAAUAGACAACUUUUAUGACCAAUCUUUGGUUCGCUCAAAUCAUUCUCCUGUAAAUUAGUGUUUGAGAGAACAUUAAAACUGAUGAUUUUCAAACUAUUUUCAGUUACAAUAUCAUAAAAUUAGAGAAUGGAAUACAAUACUUCUUCCAAAAUCUCAUAAAUCAUGAAAUUAUUAGUACAACCCCACUAACUCUAGAAUUUGGAGAAAAACUUUGGUUCCCGAAGAUCAAUCUUAUAUGAAUUUGAAUGAAAUAGUAAUUGCACUUGCAGUAUCACAGAAAAUGAAGUGCUCUGUAUCCGAUUUUGGGGGUAUAUAUUUAUUGAAAUGAAAGUGUAAUGGUCUUGAUCUAAAUUACUCAGAGCGAUGUAGAGAAUGUUAUCUAUCUAAGUCACUUUUCAUUUGUGCUGAGUUCUUUAUCUCCUAUUUACUCUUUAUAUUAUCUUUUAUUUCUUUAUGCUCUACUUGAUUUGAUGCCAUAUCACCCUGUCUUUUUAAAAAAAUUGCCAUUGGCAGGUUGGUGAUGAUGUCACUGUGCUUGAGGCCACUGGAAAGUUUGUCAUGCCAGGUUAGUUUCAUACGACACCUAUGUGAUAGAUUACUACAGCUUUUAACUAUUCGGAGUCGGGGGAGUCUAUAAUAAGGGACACAAUGUGCAAGUCAUGAAUGAUGUAGGAUAUGGGUGAAUUGAGUAUUUAGGUAGUUUGGUGGAAGCGAAAACAAUGGAAAACAGAAAAUAGAACAAAAAGGGAUUGGUCUGGAAUCACUCCAGGGGUUUGGCUUCACACCAAGUAGUCUCCAAUCUCUGGAAAAUAAGCUUUUCUUUAUAUCUCAACAACUCAACUCCAUAAUGAAUUACAUAGACUGGGUAUUUAUAAUAAUCUAACCCUAGAGUGAAAAGAAAAAUUAAACUUAUUCUAGGAAAGAAAUCCUAAUCCAAAUAAAAUAGGAAACUUAGAAAUCCUACUGAAAUCUGGAAAAACUAAAAAUCCUAAUGAAAUCUGGAAAACUUAGAGAACCUAGGAACUAACAAAUAAAUUAGGAAACUAAUUAAUAAUUCCCUCUUCCAUCUCUUUCGUUUGUAAACCCUAAUGGGUUUGACAAAGAUGUCCUCAUCAAUGAAUAAAAGUUUUAUGUUUAAAGGUCCCAAUACUGUUUUCUGCACAGGCUUCACCUUUUGGGGUCUAUCAUGUUGUUUCAAGCUUUUCUUGUUAUGUAUACUGGUAUUUGGAUUUCUAUUCUUCAUUAUUAAAUAUCCCCUAAUAGU
rnacentral:lncRNA from 1 species